UGGGGAAUCUUGCGCAAUGGCCGAGAGGCUGACGCAGCGACGCCGCGUGGAGGAUGAAGCUUUUCGGAGUGUAAACUCCUGUUGCCCGGGACGAACGACCUCUUUCGAGGGGUGUGACGGUACCGGGUGAGGAAGCACCGGCUAACUCCGUGCCAGCAGCCGCGGUAAUACGGAGGGUGCGAGCGUUGUCCGGAAUCACUGGGCGUAAAGGGCGCGUAGGCGGUUCAUCGCGCCGGUGGUGAAAGCUCGGGGCUCAACCCUGAGUCGGCCAUCGGGACGGGUGAACUGGAGCACCGUAGAGGCAGGUGGAAUUCCGGGUGUAGCGGUGGAAUGCGUAGAGAUCCGGAAGAACACCAGUGGCGAAGGCGGCCUGCUGGGCGGUAGCUGACGCUGAGGCGCG
rnacentral:rRNA from 1 species